UGAUUGAAGGUUUCUUCUCUGGAUAAAGACGUCAUCUUCUUCUAAGAAAAUGGAAGCUAUAGACUUGAACAAUGAUGGUCAGAAUGAUGUGAUGGAUGAAGAUAUAGAGGAUCAUAAAGUUUUAGAGGAUUCAGAGGCUAACAGAGGCACACAACCGAGACAAGUUCAGUCACGCCGUAGAGUCUCUAGGUGCUGGAAGAGUUUACUAUACUUGGAGGAAGGCUGUCUGAUGGUUCAACUAAGAUCAGAUGCAACCUUUGUAGAAGGUUUUACUUCUUGAAUCUUCGUAGGAAUGGAACCUCAACUCUGACUCGUCAUAUGAAGGUGAUGAGUCUGUUGAGAAGACAGAAGAGGAGAAAGAAGAAGAGGAUAAAGAGAAGGAGAAAGAAGAGAGUGGAGAGUCUAUAGACUUGAAUUGAGCAUUUUCAUUCACUUGCUGCCUCAGCUUGGUUUUAAGGCUGCAAAUAAGAGAGACAAAGUUACAAAGCUGGAACAAAGUGAAUUCAUAAACAGUGUUAAAAACUUAAGUCUUUUGAGAUUGUUUCAGAUUUUCAGAUUUUUCAAUGUUGUUUAAAGUUUCAAAAUUUUACUACUCAAUUUUGGAUAUUUCUAUCAUAUUUCAAUGUUGUUUAAUAUUUAAA